rnacentral:tRNA from 1 species
GGUUUGGUGGCUGAGCGGUAAAGCGCUUGGCUUCCGAACUGAGGUCCCGGGUUCGAAUCCUGGCGAAGGCU